GCCAUAAUGGCUAAUACUUCAGUUGCUCCAGCUUCUAAAGUAAUUCCUCGCAAAAGAGGCAAACCAUCAGAUCCUGAAGCUUCUACACCUCGUAAUUGAAGAUGAGGAUGUUGAAGACAUGGUACCGGCCUUAGAGAAUAUUCACCUCUGAGCUCGUGAACCCCAUAUCCUGGAUCUAUAGGCGCGAUACUAUGUCUUCUAUUCGUUCUGCUACCUCCGUGAAGAAGAUUCGCUUCACUGACACUUCUCAAUCUAGGAUUUUCCCUUGAAACUGUCAACUGAGAAUGUGCAUGUUCUCUAGGAACAGCAUGAACGUGUCUAAAAUCAGGAUCACUCCUAGCAGAUCUCAUAGCAGAAGUUCCAUGUGCAGAAGUUCCUGCAUGAGAUAUUCUACGACCUUCUUCGCUGGAAUCGUAACCACUAGAGCCAUCUCUAUUUCUAGAACUAGGUGGAAGAACCCUUGGAAGACCAAAUUUUAGGUAAGUGUACGAAUUGCUAGCUAAGGGACUUUUUGGCCCGUAUCUUGGAUGUCUGAGAAUACUCUGUACUGUGGAGUCUCUCAAUUGAAAAUUUCCAUAUGGGAGAGGAGAUUUUUCUGCUGAUCCAAGUGCUGAAUCCGUAAAAUCGGAAUUCAAGUUUUGCCUGAAAGAAUAAUAUAUUAAUUACAAUAUUUUUUUAGAAUUGAAAAUUAAAAAUGAAGUAAGAAUACCUGUAGAUUGACCAAGCAUGAAGGUCCUCGCUGGCUGGAGGCUCUAAGCCUCUGGUGUCUAAUGCUCCAGGCACUGAGUAUCUUCGUUCCAGCUCCCACGCUUCCGAUCCCAUGAUUUGUGGUAUCUGAACAAUUCAAGUGAGACUGAAUAAAAUAUUCUGCGGAUUGCAUUACAUUCAUAGCUUCAAUUGAGCUAUGUGAUCAAAAUUCAUAAUGCUGUUUUAAUUUCAGAACAUUACUGCGUAUCGCAAACUAAGUUCAUUGAAUACCUUUGGAACGAAUAAGCCGAUUUCGCAAGAGUACCUUGCUUCAUAUCCCGGUAAGUUUAUACAGAAUGCUAUUUAGUCUUACACAUUCACAUAACUAUACUCAUUGCACGGCACACGUGGUCAAGAGAAGCUAAGCAGCAUUCCU